rnacentral:misc_RNA from 1 species
GAUGAAGAACGCAGCAAAAUGCGAUAAGUAAUGUGAAUUGCAGAAUUCAGUGAAUCAUCGAAUCUUUGAACGCACAUUGCGCCCGCCAGUAUUCUGGCGGGCAUGCCUGUUCGAGCGUCAUUUCAACCCUCAAGCACAGCUUGGUGUUGGGACUCGCGUUAAUUCGCGUUCCUCAAAUUGAUUGGCGGUCACGUCGAGCUUACAUAGCGUAGUAGUAAAACCCUCGUUACUGGUAAUCGUCGCGGCCACGCCGUUAAACCCCAACUUCUGAAUGUUGACCUCGGAUCAGGUAGGAAUACCCGCUGAACUUAAGCAUAUCAAUAAGCGGAGGA